GAUGAACGCUGGCGGCGUGCCUAAUACAUGCAAGUCGAGCGAACAGACGAGGAGCUUGCUCCUCUGACGUUAUCGGCGGACGGGUGAGUAACACGUGGUUAACCUACCUAUCAGACUGGGAUAACUUCGGGAAACCGGAUCUAAUACCGGAUAAUUUAUUGCACCUCAUUGUUCACUCGUUGAAUACGGUUUUUCUUUCACUUAUAGAUGGAUCCGGCCCGCAUUAACUAAUUGGUAAGGUAACGGCUUACCAAGGCAACGAUGCGUAGCCGGCCUGAGCGGGUGAUCGGCCACCCUGGAACUGAGACACGGUCCAGACGCCUACGGGAGGAAGCAGUAGGGAAUCUUACGCAAUGGGCGAAAGCCUGACGGAGCAACGCCGAGUGAGUGAUGAAGGUCUUCGGAUCGGAAAACUAUGUUAUUAGGGAAGAACAAAUGUGUAAGUAACUAUGCACGUCUUGACGGUACCUAAUCAGAAAGCCACGGCUAACUACGUG
rnacentral:rRNA from 1 species